AGCGACGACGCGGUUCGGCACCUCGAUGUCGGCUCAUCGUAUCCUGGAGGUGUAGUAGCUUCCAAGGGUUGGGCUGUUCGCCCAUUAAAACGGUACGCGAGCUGGGUUCAGAACGUCGUGAGACAGUAGACUUAUAAUGCUUAAACAUUAUUAACGUGCUGUGCUCUUUCCAUCGACUUCUAGAAUCUUCGAGAUUAGUGUUAUAUGGUCUUUUUGUAAAUUAAAUGUGGAAAUGUAAAUCUGACUAUUUGCUGGGAACUCCGAGUAUCUUGAACUACUCCGAUUAACAUCGUGAGUGAAAAUGUUGCAAGUGCGGAAAAUCAGCAGGAAAGGAUGGUUCAAACCAUCCGUCCUCAGAGACUAUACGUCAGAGUCCAGAUAUUUAUUAUCAGGAUAAGAUAUAGUCCGAACUGUAUGGCGACAUACAGAGCACUCAUAGAAAUAUGAUGCCUUGUAAUUUAUUACAAGUAACAUGUUUGUCGGUCUCUAUCCGGUGCAGGCGCUUUGAUUUUUGAGGGGACACUCUUCUAGUACGAGAGGACCGAAGAUGUGGAAAUCCCUGGUGUACCAGUUGUCCCAAAAGGGCAUCGCUGGGUAGCUAUAUUUCCUUUUGAUAAGCACUGAAUGCAUCUCAAGUGCGAAGCAUUCCCCAAGAUUAGAAAUCUUAAGUUUCCUCGAAGAAUACGAGGUUGAUAGGCGUCAAGUGUAAGCUCUGCAAGGAGUAUAGCUGAGACGUACUAAGUAACGUCUUCCGUCUCUUU
rnacentral:rRNA from 1 species